rnacentral:lncRNA from 1 species
GCGAUUCUCCUGCCUCAGCCUCCCAAGUAGCUGGGAUUACAGAACUGACUGGGAGAACCCAGCAAGGCUGGUCUGGUGUUCAGAUUCUUCCUGGCCUCUGUGCAGCCUCCUUCCUUCUGGGUAAAGGAGCAAGACCCUCUGUGGAAUGAGGUCUUAUGAACUACACUCAAGCAAGAAGUAUGUCUUAUCUGAUGGCUUCACAGUAAUCUGGUUUCCCCUAAGAAGCUAAGACUAUCUGGGCUAUUUGAGAUCCUGCAAGAUUUAUCAAGACUGUACUAGCCAUAUGAAAGCAUGUUAACACAGGGAGGGAGAGAGGAAAAGCCCUCCACAUGUUAUGACUGGCAUACAUGCUUCCAAAGCAUCGUUACUAACCGAAGGCCCAGUUCCUGAGGCGAUCACCCCAGACACACUGAAUGCAAUUUGUUGGUCACUGAGAGAACAGCACAAGAAAAACCCACCCCCAUGACUUGAUU